UACAGAGGUCCCAAGCGUUGUUCGGAUUCAUUGGGCGUAAAGGGUGCGUAGGCGGCGCGGUAAGUCGGGUGUGAAAUCUCGGGGCUUAACUCCGAAACUGCAUUAGAUACUGCCGUGCUUGAGGACUGGAGAGGAGACUGGAAUUUACGGUGUAGCGGUGAAAUGCGUAGAUAUCGUAAGGAAGACCAGUGGCGAAGGCGGGUCUCUGGACAGUUCCUGACGCUGAGGCACGAAGGCCAGGGGAGCAAACGGG
rnacentral:rRNA from 1 species